rnacentral:rRNA from 1 species
GACGAACGCUGGCGGCGUGCUUAACACAUGCAAGUCGAACGGAAAGGCCCUGCUUUUGUGGGGUGCUCGAGUGGGGAACGGGUGAGUAACACGCGAGUAAACUGCCCUUGUCUUUGUGAUAACUUCAGGAAACUGGGGCUAAUACAGGAUAGGAGCUCCUGCUGCGUGGGGGUGGUUGGAAAGUUUCGGCGGUGGGGGAUGGACUCGCGGCUUAUCCGCUUGUUGGUCGGGUAGUUGCUUACCAAGGGUGUGACGGGUAGCCGGCCUGAGAGGGUUAACGGCCUCAUUGGGACUGAGAGACGGCGCAGACUGCUACGGGACGCAGUAGUGGGGAAUAUUGCACAAUGGGCGGAAGUCUGAUGCAGCAACGCCGCGUGCGGGAUGACGUCCUUCGGGGUGUAAACCGCUGUCGCCUGUGACGAAGCGUGAGUGACGGUAAUGGGUAAAGAAGCACCGGCUAACUACGUG